rnacentral:pre_miRNA from 1 species
AAAGUACUCCCUCUGUCCCAAAAUUCUUGUCUUAGAUUUGUCUAGAUACAGAUGUAUCAAGUCACAGAUACAUCCAUAUCUAGACAAAUCUAAGACAAGAAAUUUGGGACAGAGGGAGUAGUCG